rnacentral:pre_miRNA from 1 species
GAGGGUAAACUAAGCAUAUCCGAAAAUCUUCGGAUAAGCUCGGUUGAUCCUAUUU